AGGCUUGCACACAAUGUGGAUAGUAAUGGAUUUUGUUCAAGAAUGGUUUUGGGCCAUGGGGGUGUGAGCGUCAAACAGCUUGGGCCGAGGGCCUAAGCCCAUAAAUUCCCAACCGGUUCAAUACAAACCAAGUCCUCAUACAACAAAAAAAAUAAGUCAAACAUUCAGUAUCAACAAAAGUUCCUCACAAACUCGAUUUUAAUCCACUUCCUCAUUCUAAAAUCCCGUGUCAAGCACGCAAUUCAACAUUGUUUCCGAUUCUUGCGCGUAAACAACCACAUAACCAUCGAGAAAAAUCAAGGACUCACCUCUUUCAUACUUAAUCAAAGAAUCUAGAGAGAAAAACUGAGUUCCUGUUCCAACUCAAUUAUCCAUUCGCGAUCAAUACCGAAACCGAAAUCACCUUGCGUGCGGAUGAAAGAAAACAACAUGAGAAGAACGACCUACCGAAUUUGGUGUAGUGGCUCGGAGGUACAAUUUUCUUGUCGUUGAUUCGUUCUUCGGUGUUGUCGCGUUGUGUUAUGGAUCGUCGCCGCUAUUCUCAAAGUCACCGCGUUGAGCUGAAGAGGGAAUGUGAUAUUUGAUGCGUAUCGGAUCGAAGAGCCUUCGGUAGAAAAGGAUGCAGAUCGCAUCGUCAUGUUUGCGGUGAAGCAAGAGUCGAAGGGGAGCAGAUUCACAGCCUUCGCUCGCCUCUUCAAACGCCUCGAUGCGCGAAAAUUCGAAAAGAACCGAAUCGAUUCGAAGAGAACAAAACUCAGUGAAGCAAAGCUUUGGCGCAAAAUCAGGUGCCAAAAUCCCUUUCCUCCUUCCAUUUUGAUUCUUUUCCUUCUACGGGGCUUCUUCUUCCGUUCUUUGAUUUGCGUGAUUGGUGUGUUGUAGUGAGAUGGAGAGAGAAGGUGAAGGAAGAAGAUGCGUUGCGGUUGCAGAGUUUAGUUCCUGCGAAUUUGAAUUUGGUGAAGAGUUCGAAACCUCCCCUUGGUGAACGGGUGUAGAGGUUGAAGAAUAGGAUUGGAGAGAGUGGAGAACUCCUAUGCGAAUGAUGAAGAUGAAGAUUUGAAGAAGGAUUGGAGAGAUGAAGAAGUGAAGAGGAUGAAGAAGAUUGAGACGAAGAAGUGAAGAACCUCUCUUGUAGAAUGAAGAAUUCUUUGUUAUAUAGAGCGUGAAGUUGCAACCGAAUUGGGCACGUCGGGCACGUCGAACAGGGUUAGAUCCAGAAUUCAGUUAAGUGUUCAACAAUGCUGUAAGUUAGAUUUCAAUUAAAUCUGUUAGAGGUUAUGGUUAAAAAUUCUGUUAGGAUCAUCUGUUACCAAAUGUGAGCUUGUUAGUUAUUGAAACCUAGAUGCAAUUCAAAU